rnacentral:sRNA from 1 species
AUGACCACACGUGCACCACAAUUCUGAGCGCGACGGACGCACCCACCUGACGGCUGCGCGUUACGUUUGUUAGCC